AUGAGAGUGGAAGAUAAUGAAUAGCAGCUGCUGUUUGUGGAGCCUGUACCACCUGCUGGGACCACCCUGGGCUGAACCCAUUGUAAACAUCCAUUCAUCAAAGCCCCAUCACAGCCCUCCAAGAUGUCAUGAAGAUUAAACAAGAUAAGAGUAUGGUGCUUGGCAUCCAGUAGGUGCUUAACAGAGGGAAUCCACUGGAUUAAAAAGCCCUGCAGAAGCCAGACAUGGUGGCACAAGCCUGCAGUCCCAGCAACUCAGGAGGCUAAGGUGGGAG